UACGUAGGGGGCAAGCGUUGUCCGGAAUCAUUGGGCGUAAAGCGCGCGCAGGCGGCACAUUAAGUAAGGUGUGAAAUAUCCCGGCUCAACCGGGAGGGUGCACUUUAGACUGAUGAGCUUGAGGUCGGUAGAGGGGGGUGGAAUUGCCGGUGUAGUGGUGAAAUGCGUAGAGAUCGGCAGGAACACCCAGGGGGAAACCAGCCGACUGGGCAUCUGAUGACGCUGAUGUGCGAGAGCGUGGGGAGCGAACCGG
rnacentral:rRNA from 1 species